ACGCACGCUGGCGGCGUGCUUAACCCCUGCACGUCGAACGGAAAGGCCCUGCUUUUGUGGGGUGCUCGAGUGGCGAACGGGUGAGUAACACGUGAGUAACCUGCCCUUGACUUUGGGAUAACUUCAGGAAACUGGGGCUAAUACCGGAUAGGAGCUCCUGCUGCAUGGUGGGGGUUGGAAAGUUUCGGCGGUUGGGGAUGGACUCGCGGCUUAUCAGCUUGUUGGUGGGGUAGUGGCUUACCAAGGCUUUGACGGGUAGCCGGCCUGAGAGGGUGACCGGCCACAUUGGGACUGAGAUACGGCCCAGACUCCUACGGGAGGCAGCAGUGGGGAAUAUUGCACAAUGGGCGGAAGCCUGAUGCAGCAACGCCGCGUGCGGGAUGACGGCCUUCGGGUUGUAAACCGCUUUCGCCUGUGACGAAGCGUGAGUGACGGUAAUGGGGAAAGAAGCACCGGCGAACUACGU
rnacentral:rRNA from 1 species